rnacentral:misc_RNA from 1 species
GAUGAAGAACGCAGCGAAAUGCGAUAAGUAGUGUGAAUUGCAGAAUUCAGUGAAUCAUCGAAUCUUUGAACGCACAUUGCGCCCCUUGGUAUUCCAUGGGGCAUGCCUGUUCGAGCGUCAUUUGUACCCUCAAGCUCUGCUUGGUGUUGGGUGUUUGUCUCGCGGUUCUGCGCAGACUCGCCUUAAAACAAUUGGCAGCCGGCUUGUUAGCCUGGAGCGCAGCACAUAUUGCGCCUCUUGCUAGCGACUGCCCGGCACCCAUCAAGCCCAUUUAUUUGCUCUUGACCUCGGAUCAGGUAGGGAUACCCGCUGAACUUAAGCAUAUCAAUAACGGAGGA